UACGUAGGUGGCAAGCGUUGUCCGGAUUUACUGGGCGUAAAGGGCGUGCAGGCGGUCUGUUAAGUGCAGGGUGAAAGCUCCCGGCUCAACUGGGAGAGGUCCUUGCAUACUGGCGGACUUGAGGGGGGUAGAGGAAAGUGGAAUUCCCGGUGUAGUGGUGAUAUGCGUAGAUAUCAGGAGGAACACCGGUGGUGUAGACGGCUUUCUGGACCGUAACUGACGCUGAGACACGAAAGCGUGGGUAGCAAACAGG
rnacentral:rRNA from 1 species